CAGAAGCAUCGCUUAAGUUGGCCUCUGUCUGAAUCUCAAAAGUUAGCUGGAGAGGGGCGAAAUAUUGAAGACUUGAUUUUUUUAUUUUUUAAAGCAGCCCUGAGUGUGUGUGUCUGUCUCUCCCCCACCCCCGUCUUCUCCAAGCCUACUGUAUCCCUCAGUUUAAACCACCCAUAAAAACAGCAGACUCCUUUAAAAAGUCAGGCAUUCAGAUUAAUAGAUAACGUAUCGAGCGCAUUCUUCUCCGAUGAGUUAAGAUGCGGAUAGCAUUCGCUUGUACAGUAAUGUGGAUGAAUCUUCGUUCGGGGCCACCAUUCAGAAAAGGUCCUAAUAAAAGAUGCGAGGUACGGACGCUCUUUGUCAGUGGCCUACCUCUGGACAUCAAACCUCGGGAGCUCUAUCUCUUGUUCAGACCAUUCAAGGGGUAUGAAGGUUCUCUUAUUAAACUCACGUCUAAGCAGCCUGUGGGCUUUGUUAGUUUUGACAGUCGCUCAGAAGCGGAAGCUGCUAAGAAUGCUUUGAAUGGAAUCCGCUUUGACCCUGAAAUCCCUCAGACGCUUCGAUUAGAGUUUGCUAAAGCCAACACGAAGAUGGCGAAGAGCAAACUAGUGGGGACACCAAAUCCGAGCACUCCUGCCACCGCCAACACUGUACCUCAGUUCAUUACCAGGGAGCCUUAUGCGCUGGCUCCCUCCCUCAGAGGCUACUUCUCAGGGCUGGAAGUCCCGUCAGUUCUGCUGAAUACUGUGUACCAGGUGUGUGAUGGCGGCUACAAUCUGUCUUGUGGGUAUUAAUGCAUUCUUCCUAAGUCGCUACUGGUGUCUUACCUUCAUCUGCAACAGUACAGUGUGGCUUGAAAAACCUCACACAAGCUUGGAUUCCUUCAAGACUUUGCCACAGCCUCUAUCACACAUCUGCUCUCCUAGAAAUAAAAAUAAUAUUGAAUAAUGUUUUCCUCUUCUACACUGUAUACAAAUUGUAAGGAAGAGUGUGUGUGACUUCUGAAAAGCAUGGAUGAACAUCUGGUUUGAAAAGGUAUUUUCAAACCAAGCAACAGAGAACAAGUAUUUUUAUACCAAGCAUUGCAAGUAGAAGGAUCUUACACUGGGUUGGAUCCCUGGUUAUGUGCUUGACUUUUGAAUGAGUGUAAUUAAGGUUUCUUUUUUCCAUCCUUUUAAGCUGCAUGUUCAAGGCAUGUUUUUGAAUCUUGUUGAAAUUCUUAAAAGUGUAUUGUUUAAAGUUUAUAGACAUUUUUGGUCAUCCUGGCUGGGAGCCGGAGAUGAUGUGUGUUGAACAUAUGAAGUGUUCCUGUGGUACAUGUUUCUUCCCUUUGUGCCAAAUUAUAUUGAGCAAGACAAUCAGAAAGACAAUCUUUAACUUCUUGGAAUACUCUACGAGUUUGCUGUAGUGCAUAUUGUCAGAGUGGCUGUAUCUUCUCUAUGUGAUCAUAUAUAUUUGGGUGCAUAACCACACGGAGAAGCAAUAGUUUGAAGGAAAGGGGCCCAUAGAGGUAGCCAAAUUCAUUUUUGUUACUGCCAUAGCUGAAGAAAGCACAGCCACAAUUAAGAAAAUGACUGUGGCUCUCUCUGCCUAUCACUUUCAUUCACUCAGCAUUUCUUCACAUGCAGUUGUGCACCCUAUUAUAAGUUUACUGGGCAACAAAGAAAAUGAAAAAGCAACUACUUGUAUAUGAAAACCAGUCUUGAAUGUCAGAGCUAUGCAGAAAUGUCUGUAAAGCAAGUUUAUACACAUCCCUGCAAUAGACCUUUAAAAGAAAUAUGAUUUUAAAAAGAGAGCUCUAUAUAUUGGUGUGUACUUGACAUGUAAUAUGUUGCAUUCCUAGGUGGUAUGGCUUUGCGCCACAUAGACAGAGGACUGGUUCCAGUACCUGCUUAAUAACAUAACUUAAUAUUUGUUGGGAAGGCAGAAGGCUGGCUGGACUGUUGAUCAAUAAAGCUUAAGUUCAGUUGAUACCAACACCCCCUGUACAUAUUCAAACCAGAGCCUUUUGCUCAACUCAGAUUUUCAGAUGAAUAACGUCUUUCCAACUCCUUGCUACAAAAUGUACUGCUUCCCAGAGGAAGUCUCAAAUAAAGGUGAAACAGUUACCUACUGGUAGGUCCUGCUUUUCAAAUGCCCCCACUGUGUCCAUGUAAAGGUGCCUAUUUGGGCUCUGAAGGCCCUCCCCCCCAAAGAACCAAGGCAACACCAUUGCCAUUUGGGACUGCCUUCCCAGGUGUGAACACUGGUGUACCAUGGUCCUUGUGCACCUCAUUUGGCAUUGUGGGGCUGGCAGUGGGCUAGAGGAAACUACAGCUCUGGCUGGAACCCUUUUGCUGACCUAAGAGGCUGUAUUGCACCUGGGGUGAGAUGCCAUCUUUGACCACCACAUGAGUGAGUUGCGGCUGAGCAGCCAUGGCAGACGUCCCUGGGAUGCUCCUUUCAUUGAUGGCCUGAGUGGCUGCUUGGGUCACUUGUACAGCUAAGGUUGGAGAGGUCUGGACUCAACCACUUGGCGUGUCCAUCCUUCUUGAGAUGGAUUUUUGCAACUUAAAGAAGAGUAUGUGAGUUACCCUGGUAGAGCCGGAUGCCUACUGUUGCUCUUCCCAGGGUGCUGAGUACCAUCAGCAAGGCCCCUGAUAGAAGCUAAAUGCUCAGGUGGAAGACCCCGAAACUUCUCCAUCUGUCCCUACAAAUGGGAAUACAUUUAAUGAAACCAUCACCGUAAGCCAGUGUUGCUAAUAUUUAUUGUUUUAUUUCCCCAAACUAGAUUAUUUUCUCCACUUACAAUCUUUUUAUUUCCCAAUUGGUGUUUCUCCUAUAGAAAAGAAGUCACUCCUUCCAUAAGACACUAGUAGGUCUGACUAUGCUGGCUUGCUCAACAAGAAGGCCAACUAUUUUAAUAUGGCUAAUGCAUAGGCUUCUCCACCAAAUACGGUUAUGCUUCUGCUCAGGGUGUGACUUCAGUGUUUUUAAUGAGAAUACAGUAUGUUGUAGAAGACAGUAAUUUUCAAGAGAUCAAAGGCUUUAAAAUUUGCACGAGGCAGAACAAAUGGGACAAAAAAAUAGCCAUCUUUUAAAACAAAACCAAAAAUAAAUCAGUGACUUGAACAAAAUUAAAAUGUGAUAUGUGGUUAAACACUAGAAAGAGCUGUACUGAAAUGAGAUUCAUUCUGCAGAAAUUUUUUCUGUAUCUCCUUCUGUUGGCUAUAGCAGAAACAGAAGAUGCUUCGACUGUCUAUGCUUUUUUUUUAAUUGUUCAACAGGUACUUUUCUAUUGUAGUUUUCUAAAAAUAAAAGCAAUGGAUUAUAACUUG